GACGAACGCUGGCGGCGUGCUUAACACAUGCAAGUCGAACGGUAAGGCCCUUCGGGGUACACGAGUGGCGAACGGGUGAGUAACACGUGGGUGAUCUGCCCUGCACUCCGGGAUAAGCCUGGGAAACUGGGUCUAAUACCGGAUAGGACCACUGCCUGCAUGGGUGGUGGUGGAAAGCUUUUGCGGUGUGGGAUGGGCCCGUGGCCUAUCAGCUUGUUGGUGGGGUGAUGGCCUACCAAGGCGAAGACGGGUAGCCGGCCUGAGAGGGUGACCGGCCACACUGGGACUGAGAUACGGCCCAGACUCCUACGGGAGGCAGCAGUGGGGAAUAUUGCACAAUGGGCGCAAGCCUGAUGCAGCGACGCCGCGUGAGGGAUGACGGCCUUCGGGUUGUAAACCUCUUUCAGCACCGACGAAGCGCAAGUGACGGUAGGUGCAGAAGAAGGACCGGCCAACUACGUGCCAGCAGCCGCAGUAA
rnacentral:rRNA from 1 species